rnacentral:SRP_RNA from 1 species
GCCAGGCAUGGUGGCGCAUGCCUGUAAUCCUAGCUACUCAGGAAGCUGAGGCAGGAGAAUUGCUUGAACUCAGGAGGCGGAGGUAGCAGUGAGCCAAGAUCAUGCCACUGCACUCCAGCCUGGGUGACAGAGCAAGACUCUGUCUCAA